AAGUCGAACGGUAACGCGGGGCAACCUGGCGACGAGUGGCGAACGGGUGAGUAAUAUAUCGGAACGUGCCCAGUAGUGGGGGAUAGCCCGGCGAAAGCCGGAUUAAUACCGCAUGAGACCUGAGGGUGAAAGCGGGGGAUCGCAAGACCUCGCGCUAUUGGAGCGGCCGAUAUCAGAUUAGCUAGUUGGUGGGGUAAAGGCCUACCAAGGCAACGAUCUGUAGUUGGUCUGAGAGGACGACCAGCCACACUGGGACUGAGACACGGCCCAGACUCCUACGGGAGGCAGCAGUGGGGAAUUUUGGACAAUGGGCGCAAGCCUGAUCCAGCAAUGCCGCGUGCAGGAAGAAGGCCUUCGGGUUGUAAACUGCUUUUGUCAGGGAAGAAAUCUUCUGGGUUAAUACCUCGGGAGGAUGACGGUACCUGAAGAAUAAGCACCGGCUAACUACGUGCCAGCAGCCGCGGUAAUACGUAGGGUGCGAGCGUUAAUCGGAAUUACUGGGCGUAAAGCGUGCGCAGGCGGCUUUGCAAGACAGAUGUGAAAUCCCCGGGCUCAACCUGGGAACUGCAUUUGUGACUGCAAGGCUAGAGUACGGCAGAGGGGGAUGGAAUUCCGCGUGUAGCAGUGAAAUGCGUAGAUAUGCGGAGGAACACCAAUGGCGAAGGCAAUCCCCUGGGCCUGUACUGACGCUCAUGCACGA
rnacentral:rRNA from 1 species